rnacentral:rRNA from 1 species
AUUCGCGGCCUAUCAGCUUGUUGGUGGGGUGACGGCCUACCAAGGCGACGACGGGUAGCCGGCCUGAGAGGGUGUCCGGCCACACUGGGACUGAGAUACGGCCCAGACUCCUACGGGAGGCAGCAGUGGGGAAUAUUGCACAAUGGGCGCAAGCCUGAUGCAGCGACGCCGCGUGGGGGAUGACGGCCUUCGGGUUGUAAACCUCUUUCAGCAGGGACGAAGCGCAAGUGACGGUACCUGCAGAAGAAGCACUGGCCAACUACGUGCCAGCAGCCGCGGUAAUACGUAGGGUGCGAGCGUUGUCCGGAAUUACUGGGCGUAAAGAGCUCGUAGGUGGUUUGUCGCGUUGUUCGUGAAAACCGGGGGCUUAACCCUCGGCGUGCGGGCGAUACGGGCAGACUGGAGUACUGCAGGGGAGACUGGAAUUCCUGGUGUAGCGGUGGAAUGCGCAGAUAUCAGGAGGAACACCGGUGGCGAAGGCGGGUCUCUGGGCAGUAACUGACGCUGAGGAGCGAAAGCGUGGGGAGCGAACAGGAUUAGAUACCCUGGUAGUCCACGCCGUAAACGGUGGGUACUAGGUGUGGGUUUCCUUCCUUGGAAUCCGUGCCGUAGCUAACGCAUUAAGUACCCCGCCUGGGGAGUACGGAAU